rnacentral:misc_RNA from 1 species
CUUUAUAAACAAAUAGCAAUAUUGAAUUACAAGAUUAGACAAACCCCUCAACUCUACAGACAACUACAGUCCAUGGAAGCUCAAACCUAACCUUAUUGAAGUCUAGAUUUUAUCCACUAUUUACACCAUAUUUCAGGAGUGGGAUGAACACCACUGUAAUCUGCAACUUCAUUGUAGUUUUAACCUCAUACAAUUACACAUGCAUAUAGACGAGGUUGUCAGUUCUCAUUUAUACAAAACUCUCUAGAAUGCACAUGUUUGGCUAAAGUUUCCAAACCACAGGGCAGUUCGAAGUUCAUUUUCUAUACACUAGCAAAUGGGCUAAAAGUUUUAUAGCUCUGGCUCCACAUUUACAAACAUCUCCAUCUAGACAACUCUAACUUCUAUUGAAAUUAAUAAGCUAAUAUUUUGAUCCAUAACUCUAUUCUCAUUCUUACUUUAGGCCUAAGAAGAGUAAAAGGGGAAAAAAAAGUCAAGGGCAACUAUAAACUACAAGUUUCAAAUAAUCCCAAGGAAAAAAGAAAAUAUCAACAAAUCACACUAGUUAGGAAGAAUGCCUUAAUCUUCAUCAUCAGAUUGAGAAUCCUGGAUACGCCUUGCUCUGCCUCUGAAGGCACCAUUUGCUUGUCUUUGUCCUGGGUGAAUAAUAUCCUGAACCAUAUGGUGCACUGACCACAACAGAAAUUAAAAAGAUAGCAAGUUUAAAAGAACUAACAGACCAAAUUAUUAAAUCUUGAUAAUGCACAUAGAUGAAAUUUAACAUCAAGACAUUUUAACUGAUAUGAUGUUUGAAAAUCACUUGCAAACAUAGCAUAGAUGAUAGAUCUGAAAUUUCAUUUGCUGUAUCAAUUGAACGUAUUCAACAUUUAGGAAGACUUUAAUUUGUCCAAUUUCAUACCUGAUACCACAGCUUUCACAAAAAGUGCCUUAGCAAACUUGAAUUCUGCUUGAUGUGUAAUGACAAAUUUCUCCUGCAAAUUCAGCAAUCCAUUAGACCACUUGAAUUUGCAAUUUGCGGUCCAUAGUUCUGUACAAUAAAUACUACAAAACUGAUGUGGCAUAUUAAGCAGCAUGUCAUCAAUGAUAAUCCAACCCAUGCAUCUGGUCACCAGAACUUUCCAUUGCACAGAAUAUUUUUGAACACUGAGAACUUAAACUGGUUCUCCUUUCACAGUGGAAGAUUUAAGAAUCCCUUGUCUUGAAACCAAAGUGUUCAGCAUAUUUAUGAAAAAGUCAACCUCAUCACCCUAAAUACGUUGAUUUAGCACACCAUCCAACAAAAAUCCAUCUUAACAGUUCAUUUCCUUUAAUCAUAAAAUGCAUACAAGUUCUUACCACUUCACGAUGUAGAAACUCUAUCAUUUGAUCAAAUCUAGCUUGAUGCCUCAAUAGGAAUGGGCGCAGAUGGUUCAUAUACAAUUGCCUGGCUCCAUUGACAGAUGGCAGCUGUAGCCAAACAAGAAAUGCAAACUUCAUAUGAUAGUAGAGAGGAAACCAGGACAGAAUUUUAUCUGCAAACACUUCAGCGACACUGAAAGUUCCAUAAGCUGCCCAAUAGAGAAGCCAUUUUUGUUGCUCCAUUUGAUCCUUAUUCUCAAUGGCCUUAAAUGUUGCAUAAACAGGCAAAACAGUCCCCACAGAACAACAUGCUGUACGGACGACAAUGUUGGAAUUAAGCGGGCAGAGAAGCAAUUGCAAACCAACCUGGCUUGGGAAAGCCAUGGGACCGACUUUUGCACACAGAGUCAGAGACCAAGGGAGAUGGUUAAUAAAAA